rnacentral:lncRNA from 1 species
CUCACAUUGUGCCAGGGGCGAUACGGCCACACCUGGACUUCCAUAUCAUAUCAUAUCACAUCUCAUCAUACUGAGGACUAAUGGGUCAUCCAACAUCCAUCCACAUCAACAUCAAGAUAUGCAAUGCAACAUAUUCAUGAAUUCUAAUGCGAACAACCUAAUACAUAUCACAUGGCAUUUAUGAUGCAUGAACAUGCUCAAAUUUAAUUUAUCUUUGAAACAUAAAG